rnacentral:rRNA from 1 species
UACGGGAGGCAGCAGUGAGGAAUAUUGGUCAAUGGGCGCGAGCCUGAACCAGCCAAGUAGCGUGCAGGACGACGGCCCUAUGGGUUGUAAACUGCUUUUAUACAGAGAUAAAGUCACCUACGUGUAGGUGUUUGUAGGUACUGUAUGAAUAAGGACCGGCUAAUUCCGUGCCAGCAGCCGCGGUAAU